rnacentral:tRNA from 1 species
GCGUCUAUGGCGAAAUGGUAACGCGCUGGAUUGCAACCCCAGUAUUCCUCCGUUCGAUUCGGAGUAGGCGCUC